rnacentral:rRNA from 1 species
GGCGGACGGCUGAUUAACACGUGGGUGACCUGCCCUCGAGCGGGGGAUAACUGCCCGAAAGGGUGGCUAAUACCGCAUGACAUCCUGCCUUUGAACAGGUGGACAUCAAAGCUGGGGAUCGCAAGACCUGGCGCUCGAGGAGGGGCCCGCGUCCGAUUAGCUAGUUGGUGAGGUAACGGCUCACCAAGGCUCCGAUCGGUAUCCGGCCUGAGAGGGCGGACGGACACACUGGGACUGAGACACGGCCCAGACUCCUACGGGAGGCAGCAGUGGGGAAUUGUUCGCAAUGGGCGCAAGCCUGAGAGACGCAACGCCGCGUGGAGGAUGAAGUUUUUCGGAACGUAAACUCCUGUCGAGCGGGACGAACACCGCGCGCGUGAAUAGCUUUUGCGGCUGACGGUACCGCUAAAGGAAGCCCCGGCUAAC